rnacentral:rRNA from 1 species
UACGGGGGGGGCAAGCGUUGUUCGGAAUUACUGGGCGUAAAGGGCUCGUAGGCGGCCAGCUAAGUCGGACGUGAAAUCCCCAGGCUCAACCUGGGAACUGCGUCCGAUACUGGAUGGCUUGAAUCCGGGAGAGGGAUGCAGAAUUCCAGGUGUAGCGGUGAAAUGCGUAGAUAUCUGGAGGAAUACCGGUGGCGAAGGCGGCAUCCUGGACCGGCAUUGACGCUGAGGAGCGAAAGCCAGGGGAGCAAACGGG